rnacentral:sRNA from 10 species
UUUUUCUUUGCAUCUGUCUCCCCUCUAUCUCUCUGCACCUCUUUCUUUUCUUCCAAAAUCUUUCCCUUUCCUUCGCCGCACUUCUCCUCUCUAAAACCUCUUUCUUUUCUUUUCUACUUCCUUCGUUCAUUGCUUUUCCUAAUUAAGCUAAUUUUGCUUGUAAAAAUCUUACCUUUUUAAUCUCAUCUUCUUUUCCCCAAGAAACUAGGGUUUUGUCAAAUGUGACCCCUUUUGGUACAAAAACAGGGCACUCGAUUCUCAAAUCUCUGUUUUUUUUUUAAUUAUUAUUACACGAUUUAAGAUUUCUUUUGUAGGACUUGAUUGUUCAUUGAUUUGAUUCUUGCUGGCAUGUUAAUGACAUUGAACCUAUUUCAACCGUAAUAUUUUUUUUAUUGGAUUGAUAUGGGAUUGAUAUGGUUAGUUGUGUGUUUUUUAAUCCCAUUUUUUAUUUUGUGUGAUGAUUUAGGCAAACAGGCACACCAUUGUUUUGAUGCAAACUUCGCAGAACAGAGCACCUAGAACGUUUGUGGAUUAUGAUUCUAUCAGUCAAGCUAUGGACAGUAUACGUGGACUAUAUGAAAGGAAACUUAAAAAGCUCAACCCAGCAACUCAAAACAUAACGUAUGACAUUGGUGUUCUUUACAAUUUUAUUGAUGGCCUUGCAGAUAUGAUUGCCCUCGUGUAUGACUCUCUCUCUCUUCCUCCGCCUUUUUCUGUCAAAAGGGACACUUCAAAUGGAUGCCUUUUCACCAUGUGAUAAAAGAUUGUGAUUCUAGGAGGACAUUCACAAGGCCUUGGAGUCAUUGAAGAGUGGACAUCAAAAGGGAAACUUUUAUUUUCUAUUGCAACUAUUUUUUAUUUUCUUUCAAUUCUCAAGUUUAGUUACUUAAUUAUAACAAUUUACAGCUUAAUCGAUCAUCAUUGAUCGGUUGCCAAGAAAAGGAACAAAUAAUCAAACACCAAAUAUUUGAUAAUAUAUCUCUAAAUCAGAUUUGUAAGAUGGUGGAAGUCAAUGUUCCUCAACUUCUCUUUGAAGAAUAAAAGCACAACUUUGAACAAAUGAGCCUAACAAGAUACUUGGAAGAAUUGAUUCCAAAUGCUACUCUUGAUGAAUCCUGUAAGGAAGGUUGGGAACUGCAAUGUCAGAUGGUUUUAUUAGGUUGGAGAAGGGACAAACAAAUAUGUACAAAGAGAAAUUGGAGAGAAAAAGAGAGAAAGAGAGAUUACCCCAUAUUGUACACGUUGUAAAGACCUUGAGGGUCCAUGUUCCAAGUUGAAAAUGGUUUUUGAGACAUUUGACGUUUGAGGCAUUAGUUGCUGCAAUUUGAUUUUAGAGACACUUUAUGGUUUGUGAGCAUUUUGUUUCUAUCAUAAAACUUAUUGCAUAUUAGAAGGUUA